rnacentral:tRNA from 1 species
GGGCCUGUAGCUCAGUUGGUUAGAGCGCACCCCUGAUAAGGGUGAGGUCGGUAGUUCGAAUCUACUCAGGCCCA